AUGGUGGUCUGCGUUCCUGCCGCCGAGACCCCUGCGCUGGAGCUGGGCCCUCUCCACAGCUCGCUCUGCCUCGCGCCCGCCGCCUCGCUGGAACUUCCCCUUCCCGGCAUGGCGCGGGCCGACGCCAGGCGGCCGUCGGAGGGCCCCGAUCAGAUCCCAGGCAAUCCACCUCGCCGCAUUGCGCGCCUCGUCCAUCUGGAUCCCGCGCACCUCGCCGCGGUGACCGCGGCCCUUGGGCUCCACAUCGCCGGCGGCGCAAGCCCGAUCCCCUCUCUCGUGCAGCGCAGAGACGACGCCUCCGACUCCGGCUCCGGCUCCGGCUCCGGCUCCGACGACGACACCGGCCAUCCUAAUGACCGGCACCUCUGCUACCCACUCAUCCAGUUGCUGGAAACAGGGGGCGCCCGCAUCUUCUUCCCAGGCUCGGUUCCAGACCUUCCCGACGCUCCGCAAGGCGGCGGCCUGCACAGGAUAUCCGAUGCAUAUGGCAAUCCAUAUAUCCUCAAGGCAGGCACAGAAAGCUUUGCAGGUCCUUGUGAGCUGACCAAUGAAACGACAAGGACUUGGGUCAUUAGGCUCAAAAUCACUACCAAACUCGUUUCUUUAAGUCAGCAACAUCUGCAUGAGCAGAAUUGGGAAUUGUCUGAAGAAUGCUUUGCAGAGGUAGCUGGGCAAUCUUUAGAGAAGCUCCUUGAAGUUGCAUGUUCCUUCAGUGAUGCCAAUUGGUCUGAUGUCCAUAUCCACAACAGCUGUCUGUUUUUGACGCACUUGUUGAUGUCCUAUUCAAUAUACAAGACCUACGUUUCAGCAGAUCUGGUGAGGUUGCUGGUAUUAUUAAUAAGAUGGUGA
rnacentral:rRNA from 1 species